rnacentral:rRNA from 1 species
ACGUAGGGUGCCAGCGUUGUUCGGAAUCAUUGGGCGUAAAGCGCGUGUAGGUGGUUAUGCAAGUUGGAUGUGAAAUCCCUGGGCUCAACCGAGGAAGUGCAUCCAAAACUACAUAGCUAGAGGACGGUAGAGGAAGGUGGAAUUCCUAGUGUAGAGGUGAAAUUCGUAGAUAUUAGGAGGAAUACCUGUGGCGAAGGCGGCCUUCUGGGCCGUUCCUGACACUGAGACGCGAAAGCGUGGGGAGCAAACAGG